UUAAUAGAAAGCUAAUUCUCGAUAUAUACAAAAACUAGAAAGCUAAUUUGUAUACCAUUCUGAUAUGGGAUUUUUUAUUUUUAUUUUAUUUUUUUUCAGGGUUUUGUUAAGAUGGAAAUGAGAAGUCACAGAUAAAACGUCCGAGAGACUUGCGCAAUGGGCUGAGACACGUGUGGAGCCUUGAGGCUUCAAGCCCAAAGCAUCUUUGGCUGAACGGGGCUUAUGAUCCAGUGGUGUCAUGUUUUUUUAUUUAUUUUUGGCUUUUUAUCACAAAUGGUCCUUUAGGUUUACAAAAUUAUCGCAUUUCGUCCUUAACGUUUUUUUGUGACACUAAUGGUCCUUAAGGUUAUCCUUCACACAUCAAAAUGGUCCCUGUCGUUAGCUUCCGUCAAAUUUUCUGUUAAGUAGUUGAUGUGGCGCGUGUGUGGAGCCCACACAUCCAAUAGUAUACAUCCAUGUGGCUUUAAAUAAAAUAUAUUAUAUUUUCAAUAUUUUAAAACUUAAAAUAAAUUAAAUUAUAAAAUAAAAAAAAAACUUGUACGUUCUCCCCCUCUGCCAGCGCCUCUAACCCUGGCAGACCCACUCUUUGCCUCUCUCUCCCUCCUCUUCCUCCCUCCUCUCUCCCUCUCUCCCUCAUCUUCCUUGGUUGUGGGUUUCAUUGAUUUGUGGGUUUUGGUCAAACAAAAAAGGACCCAAGUGUACUGCAACUAUGCCAAGCCCGAUCUUGGUUCCAAUGCUCCAGAGACAGAUUCUAGGUUUUGGUCAAACAAAAAAAGAGCAAAGCGUUUAUUUCAUCAAGCUAUGGUAGACGCAGAAACUUCCUGAUGCAGAAACUACAUCAAGCUAUAGUAGAUUAGCCUGUAAAAAUUAAGGAAAAUGAGGGAGAGAGAGAAAGAGAAGGGAGGAAAAGGAGGGAGAGAGAGGCAGAGUAGGUCUACGAGGGUGGGUAGGAGUCGCCGGCAGAGGAAGAUACAGGUUUUUUUUGUUUUUUGGAUUUUAAGUUUUAAAAUAUUUAAAAUAUAAUAUAUUUUAUUUAAAGCCA